rnacentral:rRNA from 1 species
UAGGAUUUCCUUAGUAGCGGCGAGCGAACAGGAAUAAGCCCAGCACUGAAUCCCGCGGUCGAAACCGGUCGCCGGGAAAUGUGGUGUUAGGGAGGAUCCGUUAUCCCGAGAUUGUGCGGUGCGUCCAAGUCCUUCUUGAACGGGGCCACAGCCCAUAGAGGGUGCCAGGCCCGUAGUGACUGCUGCCAAUCGCAGGUGGAUCUCUCCUCAGAGUCGGGUUGCUUGAGAGUGCAGCCCUAAGUGGGUGGUAAACUCCAUCUAAGGCUAAAUAUGACCACGAGACCGAUAGCGAACAAGUACCGUGAGGGAAAGUUGAAAAGAACUUUGAAGAGAGAGUUCAAUAGUACGUGAAACCGUUCAGGGGUAAACCUGAGAAACCCGAAAGUUCGAAAGGGGAGAUUCAGCGCGUCUCGUAAUUGUCCUGGGUGUGAUGGUAAAAGCAGCAAUUCUGUUGUUGUGGAACCUAAGCAUUUUAUGUACUUUAUGAACGUGUGCACUUCUCCCCCAGUAGGACGUCGCGAUCCGUUGGGUGUCGGUCUACGGCCUGUAAUGUUGUCCGUCAGGAUGGUUUUCCAUGUCUGACGAACUUGCAGUGCUUCCUGGCCGACUUGCUUGACGGUUUACAGAUGGCGUGGGGCCGCUACUAUAGUUAGCGUUUGAGUUAUAGCAAGCGCGCCUUUUGUGUCGGUGAUCGGACCUAGUGCCGUUCCUGACCACUGGUGGCUGUUCGCUAUAUAAUUCUCGAGCAGACCUCGUUGUAACGCCGAUCUGCGACGCUAUAGCUUUGGGUACUUUCAGGACCCGUCUUGAAACACGGACCAAGGAGUCUAGCAUGUGCGCGAGUCAUUGGGACAUAACUAAACCUAAAGGCGCAAUGAAAGUAAAGAUUUGCCUUGCGCAAAUCUAGGGAAGAUGAGUAGUGUAAAUUACUGCUUCGCACUCCCGGGGCGUCUCAUUCUCAUUGCGAGAAGAGGCGCACCAAGAGCGUACACGCUGGGACCCGAAAGAUGGUGAACUAUGCCUGGUCAGGACGAAGUCAGGGGAAACCCUGAUGGAGGUCCGUAGCGAUUCUGACGUGCAAAUCGAUCGUCGGAACUGGGUAUAGGGGCGAAAGACUAAUCGAACCAUCUAGUAGCUGGUUCCCUCCGAAGUUUCCCUCAGGAUAGCUGGCGCUCAUUGCGCACGAGUUUCAUCCGGUAAAGCGAAUGAUUAGAGGCAUUGGGGUCGAAACGGCCUCAACCUAUUCUCAAACUUUAAAUGGGUGAGAUCUUCGGCUUGCUUGAACUCUUGAAGCCGCAAGACUCGAAUCAGAGUGCCAAGUGGGCCAUUUUUG